UUUAAUAUGGCAGAAUAAGUGCAUUGAACUUAAGAUUCAAAUAUAAAGUAUUUUUAAACUUUUAUUAAAAU
rnacentral:tRNA from 1 species